AUCCCUGCCUGCCUGCCUGCCUAGGUCGUUCAAACAGAUUCGCUGAGCACAGCUCGACGACGUAGCAGAAAAAGAGAACUAGAGAAGCCAUCAGUUAGCAAUGGCCUCCUCGUCGCUGGACACGGAGGCGGGAGCCGGAGCGCAGCACAAGGCCGCCGCCGGCGACGGCAGCGGGUACACCACCGCGGCCACCGCCCACGCGGUGGACACAGACUCAUGGCAGCAGGUGGGGCUGCUGCUGGUGACGGGGUUCAACUGCGCCUACGUGCUCAGCUUCUCCAACCUGAUGAUGGUGCCGCUAGGGUGGGGGUGGGGCGCCGCCUGCCUGCUGCUCCUCGCCGCCGCCGCCUGGUACGCCAACUGGCUCCUCGCCGGCCUCCACGUCGUCGACGGCCAGCGGUUCAUCCGCUACAGGGACCUCAUGGGCUUCGUCUUCGGGAGGAAAAUGUACUACCUCACCUGGUUCCUGCAGUUCACCACCCUGCUCCUGGGAAGCAUGGGCUUCAUUCUGCUCGGCGGGAGAGCACUCAAGGCGAUCAGCGCGGAGUUCACCCAGACCCCUCCGCGGCUGCAGUGGUUCAUCGCCGCGACGGGGUUCGUCUACUUCGCCUUCGCCUACUUCGUGCCCACCAUCUCCGCCAUGCGGAACUGGCUGGCCACCUCCGCCGCGCUCACCGUCACCUUCGACGUCGCGCUGCUCGCCGUCCUCGUCCGAGACGGGAGGUCGAACUCGCGGCGGGUUGACUACGCCAUCCACGGGACGGAGGCGGAGAAGGCGUUCAACGCGCUGGGGGCCGUGGCGGCGAUCCUGGUGUGCAACACCUCGGGCCUGCUCCCGGAGAUCCAGUCGACGCUGCGGAAGCCGGCGGUGGGCAACAUGCGGCGGGCGCUGGCGCUGCAGUACACGGUGGGGGCCGCGGGGUACUACGGGAUCAGCGUGGCCGGGUACUGGGCGUACGGCGCCGCCGCGUCCGAGUAUCUGCCCAACCAGCUCUCCGGCCCGCGCUGGGCCUCCGUGCUCAUCAACGCCACCGCCUUCCUCCAGAGCAUCGUCUCGCAGCACCUGUUCACGGUGCCGAUCCACGAGGGCAUGGACACGGGGCUGCAGCGGCUGGAGGAGGGCAUGUUCUCGCGCUACAACAUGACGCGCAGGCUCUUCGCCAGGGGGCUGCUCUUCGGGGUCAACGUCUUCGUCACCGCGCUCUUCCCAUUCAUGGGCGACUUCGUCAACCUCUUCGGAUCCUUCGCGCUCUUCCCGCUCACCUUCAUGUUCCCCAGCAUGAUCGUCCUCAAAAUCAAAGGGGAGUGUGACGGGAGAUGGUGCAGGCUCUGGCACUGGAGCAUCAUCGUCGUCUCCUCGGCCAUCGGACUCGCCACCUCCGCCGCCGCGGUCAGACUCAUCCUGCACAACGCCAGCGUCUACCGCUUCUUCGCCGACACCUAGAGCACGCCUAUCCCGCCGCGCAGGAUGAUGAUGCAGUGCGUGCGCCCAACCGUGACAUAACAGUUACUACUAGCACUAUCAGGCCAUCGUAUCCGUGUCAAUGCGUGGGCACGUUAACAUGCCAAACGUGACACUAAAAUAGCAGUACUCAUAGUAGUAGUGGUGAACCACCUGCAUUGGACGCCAUUUGAGCAAGAAGAAACUUCCAAUUCGAAACGAAAAAUAAAAUAAAAUAAUGCCACCUCCCUUGCAAGAGAACACUGCGGAUUUGUACAGACGCAUCAAUCAACCAAAAAACAAACAUAUCCCGGGUGAAACGGCAGCUCAAGAACCACAUCCAUAUGUACACACUUGCAAGUACCACACACGGUUCGCUGGAUCCAUCAGCAGCAGUUUCUCGUUUUUCUGUUCUUUUCUCUCUCUUUUUGUUGUUUUCGCAUGCCAAUGGCCCUUGAAAACCUGCAUCCAUUUCUUGCGCUGGAGUUUGGAUCAUUCCUGGUUGGGUGUAGAUACUCGAGACCGGCCCCUGCUCCCAUCUUUGGGACGGCGGAUUCAUCGGCCCUGCAAAACUCGACGCAGACCGAUGCCUGGUGUAAUCUCCGAGAGCCGAUCGAGCCCUUCAUGGACUGGGCUUGGAGAGCUUGAAGUCCAUCGUCCAGUGUGA
rnacentral:rRNA from 1 species